AGCUUGCUACUGGACCUAGCGGCGGACGGGUGAGUAAUGCUUAGGAAUCUGCCUAUUAGUGGGGGACAACAUCUCGAAAGGGAUGCUAAUACCGCAUACGUCCUACGGGAGAAAGCAGGGGAUCUUCGGACCUUGCGCUAAUAGAUGAGCCUAAGUCGGAUUAGCUAGUUGGUGGGGUAAAGGCCUACCAAGGCGACGAUCUGUAGC
rnacentral:rRNA from 1 species